UACGUAGGUGGCGAGCGUUGUCCGGAUUUACUGGGCGUAAAGGGAGCGUAGGCGGACUUUUAAGUGAGAUGUGAAAUACCCAGGCUCAACUUGGGUGCUGCAUUUCAAACUGGAAGUCUAGAGUGCAGGAGAGGAGAAUGGAAUUCCUAGUGUAGCGGUGAAAUGCGUAGAGAUUAGGAAGAACACCAGUGGCGAAGGCGAUUCUCUGGACUGUAACUGACGCUGAGGCUCGAAAGCGUGGGGAGCAAACAGGAUUAGAUACCCCGGUA
rnacentral:rRNA from 1 species